rnacentral:rRNA from 1 species
GAUCCUGGCUCAGGACGAACGCUGGCGGCGCGCCUAACACAUGCAAGUCGAACGGAGCUGAGAGGAGCUUGCUUUUCUUAGCUUAGUGGCGAACGGGUGAGUAACGCGUGAGUAACCUGCCCUGGAGUGGGGGACAACAGUUGGAAACGACUGCUAAUACCGCAUAAGCGCACAGGAUUGCAUGAUCCGGUGUGAAAAACUCCGGUGGUAUGAGAUGGACCCGCGUCUGAUUAG